GACGAACGCUGGCGGCGUGCUUAACACAUGCAAGUCGAACGAUGAACCGGAGCUUGCUUCGGGGAUUAGUGGCGAACGGGUGAGUAACACGUGAGUAACCUGCCCUGGACUCUGGGAUAACUCCGAGAAAUCGGUGCUAAUACCGGAUAGGACCUGGAACCGCAUGGUUUUGGGUGGAAAGUUUUUCGGUCUGGGAUGGA
rnacentral:rRNA from 1 species